rnacentral:rRNA from 1 species
UACAGAGGUCUCAAGCGUUUGUUCGGAUUCAUUGGGCGUAAAGGGUGCGUAGGCGGCGCGGUAAGUCGGGUGUGAAAUCUUGGAGCUUAACUCCGAAACUGCAUUCGAUACUGCCGUGCUUGAGGACUGGAGAGGAGACUGGAAUUUACGGUGUAGCGGUGAAAUGCGUAGAUAUCGUAAGGAAGACCAGUGGCGAAGGCGGGUCUCUGGACAGUUCCUGACGCUGAGGCACGAAGGCCAGGGGGAGCAAAACGGGG